rnacentral:rRNA from 1 species
AACUUCUAGGAACACCUUCCGGUACCCCUACUUUGUUACGACUUAUUUCACCUUGGAAUGAAAGCGACGGGCAAUAUGUACAUAUUUUAGAGCUAAAAUCAUUUUAAAAAUAUAUUUAAAAUUACUUUCAAAUCCACCUUAAAAAUUUUUGAAAAAAAAUUCAUUCGUUUAAAUAAAUUUAUUAUAACCCAUUUCUUCUUACGUAUAAACUACACCUUGAUCUGAAUUAUUUUUUUUACAAAAAUUUUGAAUAUUAAUAAAUUCUAUAAAAAUAUUCAAUCUACGACGAUAUGUAAAUAUGAACGUAAGUAAUUUUAAUCGUGGACUAUCAAUUAUAGAACAGGUUCCUCUGAAUAGACU